GAUGAACGCUGGCGGCGUGCCUAAUACAUGCAAGUCGAGCGAACGGACGAGAAGCUUGCUUCUCUGAUGUUAGCGGCGGACGGGUGAGUAACACGUGGAUAACCUACCUAUAAGACUGGGAUAACUUCGGGAAACCGGAGCUAAUACCGGAUAAUAUUUUGAACCGCAUGGUUCAAAAGUGAAAGACGGUCUUGCUGUCACUUAUAGAUGGAUCCGCGCUGCAUUAGCUAGUUGGUAAGGUAACGGCUUACCAAGGCAACAAUGCAUAGCCGACCUGAGAGGGUGAUCGGCCACACUGGAACUGAGACACGGUCCAGACUCCUACGGGAGGCAGCAGUAGGGAAUCUUCCGCAAUGGGCGAAAGCCUGACGGAGCAACGCCGCGUGAGUGAUUAAGGUCUUCGGAUCUUAAAACUCUGUUAUUAGGGAAGAACAUAUGUGUAAGUAACUGUGCACAUCUUGACGGUACCUAAUCAGAAAGCCACGGCUAACUACGUG
rnacentral:rRNA from 1 species